rnacentral:rRNA from 1 species
GGGGAAUCUUCCGCAAUGGGCGAAAGCCUGACGCAGCGACGCCGCGUGGAGGAUGACGGCCUUCGGGUCGUAAACUCCUGUCAGAGGUGAAGAAUCCCCGCAAGGGGUUGACGGUAACCUCAAAGGAAGCCCCGGCCAACUACGUGCCAGCAGCCGCGGUAAUACGUAGGGGGCAAACGUUACUCGGAAUUACUGGGCGUAAAGGGUGUGUAGGUGGCUGAGUAAGUCAAAGAUGAAAUCCCGUGGCCUAACUGCGGAACUGUCUUUGAGACUGCUCGGCUUGAGGAUAGUGGAGGAGAAUGGAAUUCCCGGUGGAGCGGUGAAAUGCGUAGAUAUCGGGAGGAACACCCGAGGCGUAAGCGAUUCUCUAAACUAGUCCUGACGCUGAGACUCGAAAGCUAGGGGAGCAAAAGGGAUUAGAUACCCCUGUAGUC